AUAGAACCUGUAACUAUGGCACUAUACAGAUUUCUACUAGCUAAUAUUCCGCAAGCAGCAGACAGCGCCCCGUUUUUAGAGAAAUAACCUCACUCAUAUGCCAUAAUUCGUUUUUCACAUACAAAGGAGAAUUUUACAGACAAACUCUGGGAGUUCCCAUAGGCAGCCCGAUGGCGGGCCCGUUAGCAGAGAUCCUCCUAAGGCAGUUGGAACCACAGACCAUCGACAGAUUCAGGCCAAAUAUCAAAUUAUGUGAGGUACGUUGACAACAUACUAACAGUUUAGAAGAGUAAACUAGAAAUAAGGGACCUGGAAGGGGCAAUUACUAUGCCGUCGUAUGGCCUUAAGCUGAAGAGAACACAAUCACCUCAGCCACGAGCGAACUUUUUAGAUAUUGCCAUCAAUGUAACUGCCAAUGGUAUGGAAACAGCAGUAUAUCGGAAACCACAAUAUAAAGCAAUAAUCAUUCCGAGUUGGUCCCCGGACCCUAUCAAAUAUAAGAGAACAGCUUUUCGAGCAUACUGCAGAAGGGCAUACCUCUAUACCACAACUAAUCAAGAUCUAGAAAGAGAAUUAAAGUUUAUAUACAAUAUAGGAAAACAGUACGGCUAUACCCACAUGUUUCUG
rnacentral:lncRNA from 1 species